ACGGUAUCGUUGUCUCAAGACUAAGCCAUGCAUGUCUAAGUAUAAGUGUUAUACAGCGAAACUGCGAAUGGCUCAUUAAAACAGUUAUAGUUUAUUUGACAAUCGAAUUUACAUGGAUAACCGUGGUAAUUCUAGAGCUAAUACAUGCUGGUGUGCCCGACUUUUUGGAAGGGCGGUAUUUAUUAGAUAACAAGCCAAUAUUCCUCUGGUCUAUUGUGGUGAUUCAUAAUAACUGAUCGAAUCGCAAGGCCUGUGGCCGCGAUAAGUCAUUCAAGUUUCUGCCCCAUCAGCUUUCGAUGGUAGUGUAUUGGACUACCAUGGCGUUUACGGGUAACGGAGGAUUAGGGUUCGAUUCCGGAGAGGGAGCCUGAGAAACGGCUACCACAUCUAAGGAAGGCAGCAGGCGCGUAAAUUACCCAAUCCUGACUCAGGGAGGUAGUGACAAGAAAUAACGGACCGAGGCCCUCGGGCUUCGGGAUUGCAAUGAGCCGAAUUUACACCCCUUAGCGAGGAUCGAUUGGAGGGCAAGUCUGGUGCCAGCAGCCGCGGUAAUUCCAGCUCCAAUAGCGUAUAUUAAAGUUGUUGCAGUUAAAAAGCUCGUAGUUGGAUUUCUGGGAGGGUGCCAAUGUCCGCCGACGUGCGUGCGCAGCGGCGCCCUUCCAUCCUUCUGUUAACGCCUCUUGGCAUUCAUUUGCUGGUGGCGGGCUCAGAUAUUUUACCUCGAGAAAAUUAGAGUGUUUCACGCAGGCUAGGCCGGAAUACAUUAGCAUGGAAUAAUGGAAUAGGACUACGGUCUCUUUGUUGGUUUGAGGGACUGCAGUAAUGAUUAAUAGGGAUAGUUGGGGGCAUUAGUAUUUAAUUGUCAGAGGUGGAAUUCUCGGAUUUGUUAAAGACUAACUUAUGCGAAAGCAUUUGCCAAGGAUGUUUUCAUUAAUCAAGAACGAAAGUUAGGGGAUCAAAGACGAUCAGAUACCGUCCUAGUCUUAACCAUAAACUAUGCCGACUCGGAUCGGGGGGCGCGAACUAUCCGCCUUCGGCACGUAUGAGAAAUCAAAGUCUUGGGUUCUGGGGGGGGAGUAUGGUCGCAAGGCUGAAACUUUAAGGAAUU
rnacentral:rRNA from 1 species